AUGAAUUUGGUAACUUGAACCGGAAAUUUAAAGAUAAAAGCCAAGAACUUAAGGUAUAUUGACUUGUACAGAGUUUCAUAAGACUGUAGCUUUGAAGUAGUUCUUUAAGCAGUGUCAGCCUUUGUGGCACAGAAAGUGACAAGCUUGGAGAAAAAAUUGCCUUAGGCCUUGCUAUACCUUACUGCUUUCUCACAUUCCAACAGAGAAAGAUGCUUUAAAGCCAAGAAUCCAAGCUUUAUAACUUUCAGAUAAAUAGUUAAUGAUGGAANNNNNNNNNNGCUGACCUGCUAAGUGACCUGGAGAAACUGAGGAAGCAGGAGGCACAAUGGAAAAAAGAAAAAUCUGGCAAUGAUACCAGAAUAAAGGAACCACCUGUGAAACGUUCAAGGUCUCUGUCCCUGAAGAGCUCUUUUAGAGAGUCAGAGGAACUAAGGAAGCUUAAAAUAGCUGAGAGGAAGAUUGAAAACUUAGAGAAGACACUACAGCUAAAGACUGAAUUUUGAGGAAGAAUUGCAUCAGAUGAAAAUACACCAAUCUGUGAGUACAACAACUAGAAAGAAGAUUCAAAGCUAUUGAAGGAGAAUUGAAGAAACAGAAAAAAGUAAAUAAAGACUUACUGAAUGAGAAAAUG
rnacentral:lncRNA from 1 species